rnacentral:snRNA from 1 species
GUACUCGCUUCAGCAGCACAUAUACUAAAAUUGGAACAUACAGAGAGAUUAGUAUGACCCCUGCGCAAGGAUGACACACAAAUUCGUGAAACGUUCCACAUAUAU